rnacentral:rRNA from 1 species
GACGAACGCUGGCGGCGUGCUUAACACAUGCAAGUCGAACGGAAAGGCCCUGCUUUUGUGGGGUGCUCGAGUGGCGAACGGGUGAGUAACAAGUGAGUAACCUGCCCUUGACUUUGGGAUAACUUCAGGAAACUGGGGCUAAUACCGGAUAGGAGCUCCUGCUGCAUGGUGGGGGUUGGAAAGUUUCGGCGGUUGGGGAUGGACUCGCGGCUUAUCAGCUUGUUGGUGGGGUAGUGGCUUACCAAGGCUUUGACGGGUAGCCGGCCUGAGAGGGUGACCGGCCACGCUGGGACCGAGAUACGGCCCAGACUCCUACGGGAGGCAGCAGUGGAGCAUAAUGCAGCAUGGGCGGAAUCCUGAUGCAGCAACGGCACAUGCUAGCUAACGGCCCUCGUGUUGUACACCGCAUUCGCCUGGGACGAAGCGUGUGUGAGGGGACUGGGUAUAGAAGCACCGGUUAACUUAGUA